GACGAACGCUGGCGGCGUGCUUAACACAUGCAAGUCGAACGAUGAACUUGGAGCUUGCUCUGGGGGAUUAGUGGCGAACGGGAGAGUAACACGUGAGUAACCUGCCCUGGACUCUGGGAUAACUUCGAGACAUCGGAGCUAAUACCGGAUAGGACCUUGCACCGCAUGGUGAGGGGUGGAAAGUUUUUCGGUUUGGGAUGGACUUGCGGCCUAUCAGCUGGUUGGUGAGGUAAUGGCUCACCAAGGCGUCGACGGGUAGCCGGCCUGAGAGGGUGACCGGCCACACUGGGACUGAGACACGGCCCAGACGACUACGGGAGGCAGCAGUGGGGGAUAUUGCACAAUGGGCGCAAGCCUGAUGCAGCAUCGCCGCGUGCGGGAUGACGGCCUUCGGGUUGUAAACCGCUUUUAGUAGGGAAGAAGCCUUCGGGUGACGGUACCUGCAGAAAAAGGACCGGCUAACUACGUGCCAGCCGCCGCAGUAACAC
rnacentral:rRNA from 1 species